GCUCCCGUAGCAGAGUGGCCAUGCACCCACAGGGUCCCCGCCACUUGCGCGCGUUUGUCGGGGCGGUGCCGCGGCACCGAACGCCGGUUCGAGUCCGGCCGGGAGCGCCA
rnacentral:tRNA from 1 species